rnacentral:rRNA from 1 species
UGGGGAAUCUUCCGCAAUGGACGAAAGUCUGACGGAGCAACGCCGCGUGAGUGAAGACGGCCUUCGGGUUGUAAAGCUCUGUGAUCCGGGACGAAAGAGCCUGAGGUAAAUAGCCUAAGGAAGUGACGGUACCGGAAAAGCAAGCAACGGCUAACUACGUGCCAGCAGCCGCGGUAAUACGUAGGUGGCAAGCGUUGUCCGGAAUUAUUGGGCGUAAAGCGCGCGCAGGCGGCUUACUAAGUCCAUCUUAAAAGUGCGGGGCUUAACCCCGUGAUGGGAUGGAAACUGGAAAGCUGGAGUAUCGGAGAGGAAAGUGGAAUUCCUAGUGUAGCGGUGAAAUGCGUAGAGAUUAGGAAGAACACCGGUGGCGAAGGCGACUUUCUGGACGAAAACUGACGCUGAGGCGCGAAAGCGUGGGGAGCAAACAGG